AACCUGGUUGAUCCUGCCAGUAGCAUAUGCUCAUCUCGAAGAUUAAGCCAUGCAUGUCUAAGAGCAAUCUGUUCUCGCAAGAGAAAACCGUGGAUCUGCGAAUAGCUCCUUACAAGAGUCAUAAACAAGCUAACAAUGCUUCUACAAGGAUAGCGUUGUCAAAUGCAACGAUAAUACUUGCAAUAAGCGAUGGCGCAAAUCUCAGGAUUUGAUCGCCAUAAGUGUAGCCCUUUGGGUUACGCAGACUAACGUUACGUUAGCUUGAUAGAAGUGUUUCUUCCCUAUUAGCUGUGAUGGUAGGGUAAAGGCCUACCAUGGCUAUUAUGGGUCCGGGGAAUCAGUGUUCGAUUCCGGAGAGGCAGCCUUAGAAACAGCUACCAUGUCCAAGGAUAGCAGCAGGCGCGAAAAUUACUCAAUUCUAAUCAGAGAGAAGUAGUGAAAAGACAUAACGAUUUCCUACAUCUGUGGGAAAGUACUCUUUUGAGUUUGAAAUGGUCGCACUGUAAAUAGGUGCGAGAGUAUCAAGUGGAGGACAAGUCAGGUGCCAGCACCCGCGGUAAUUCCUGCUCCACAAGCAUAUACUAAUGUUGCUGUAGUUAAAACGUUCGUAGUCCAUGUAAGUGCCAAUCUGUGCGAAUCGGGUAGUCCAACUUUAGUCUUAAGGGGAAACUUUUAGGACUAGAGGACUGGAGGAAACUCCAGUCAGGGCUGCUCCUUGCCGGUUAAAUGCGUCUUCGGACGCAUCGGGGUUUGUACAGAGAGGUGCGAUCCACAACUGUGAGUAAAUCAGCGUGUUCAAAGCAGGCUUUGGGAGGAUUUAUCCUCCCUUGUGCUUGUAUGCUAAAGCAUGGAAUUGUAACAUACUGACGUCAAGUCACAAUCGUGGAAAAGGAAACAGACGGAGGGCACAAGUAUUCCGGUGACCAGGGGUGAAAUCCGUACUCCCGGAAGACUACCAGAUGCGAAAGCGGUUUUGCCCACGGCGUUUCCGUUGAUCAAGAACGAGAGUCAAGGGAUCGAAGAUGAUUAGAUACCGUCGUAGUCUUGACCGUAAACUAUACUGCCAAGAGUUUGGGGAUAUGACACCAUUAUUGAUCUCCUCAGAAUCUAAGGGAAACCGAAAGUUUUCGAGUUCUGGGGGAAGUAUGGUCGCAAGGCUGAAACUUAAAGGAAUUGACGGAAAGGCACCACCAGGAGUGGAGUCUGCGGCUUAAUUCGACUCAACACGGGGAAACUCACGAAGGCAAGAUGUGGAUAGGAUUGACAAGUUAAAGACUUUUCUUGAUUCUACAAGUGGUGGUGCAUGGCCGUUCUUAGUUCGUGGGUUAACUUGUCUGGUUAAUUCCGAUAACGAGCAAGACCUCGGCUGCUAAUUAGGUGGGUAGUUUUGAUCUUCGGGUCGAAAUUACUCUAGCGUUUCGGCGCGUUACUUCUUAGCAGGACAACCUGCGUUAAGCAGGGGGAAGCUCGAGGCAAUAACAGGUCUGUGAUGCCCUUAGAUGCCUUCGGCAGCACGCGUACUACAAUGUUAAAAUAAGCAAGUUAAUGAGUCCAUCAGGAUUCGGCUGCUCAUAGCUGAGUGGCUAAACUUGUAAAAUUUUAACAUGACAGGGAUUGGUCAUUGGAAGUGGACCAUGAACGAGGAAUUCCUCGUAAUCGCAAGUCAUCAUCUUGCAAUGAUUACGUCCCUGCCUUUUGUACACACCGCCCGUCGCUCCUACCGAUUGGAGAAAGAAGUGAAAUGGAAGGAUUGGCCUCCGGGUCUAAAGAAUUCCCUUGAACUUCUUUCUCUGUAGGAAGGAGAAGUCGUAACAAGGUCUUCGUAGGUGAACCUGCAGAAGGAUCAAGC
rfam:Stachyamoeba sp. ATCC 50324 16S-like ribosomal RNA gene, complete sequence.